AUAUACUCCAAUUUAAUUAAACGGGGUGAUGGAUUUCUCCGUCAACAGUAUGCUUGCCUUUCCCUAACUACACGUCGCAUGCUGCUGGCACCAUUUCUUCCCCCUCACAGCGCCACGUUUCUAAAACUCACCUCUUUCUCUUCCUCCUAUGAUCUAUCACCCUUGUUUUCCUUUCUCUUCUUUUCCCUUCUAUAAUCAACAGCUUGUGAGCAAUAGCCGACACAAUCGUGUAGGGUUUUCAAUUUUCUGUUGUUUUCUUUUUUCCUCCCCGUCUAGUUUUUGUUACUGCAACACUUUUUUUCCGAGGACAAAAAACACAGUAUUCUAAAAAGAGAAUAAGAAAAAGAUGUAGAAGAAGAAAAUGGUGCUGGCGGUGAUGGUAAUAGAUUAGUGUGUUAUCGGUGGGGAUUUGCCGGGAUCAGGUUGGCUAGAGGAACAGAGGAGACGGUGAAUGAUGCAAUGGAGAAUGCCGAAAUCGAAGUAUAGAAAAAAUAACAAGCAAUGUGCAUUGCCGCUUAUGCCAUGCAAGAUGCCGAGGACUCCCGAUCUGCUUCACAAGAUCCCUGAGAACAAUUGUCUGUAAGAAAGACAAAACAGUCGAUGCCUUGGGCAAUACUUGUCAGAAGAUAAGUGUGUGACUUCUGAUAAAGCUGAUGAUGCCAAAAUGAAACAAUGACAGGAGUUAUGCAAUAUGUAAGGGAUAAAGCAGCCAAUGCCUAUGAAGAAGGCAAUCAAAAAAUGAAUACAGCUUCAUAUCAUGUUAUUGUUGUCAAGGAGAAUACUGCCAAGCUGUAAAUUAUGGAAGUGAUAAAGCAUCAAACACCUAUGAUGAAGCUAAAGAGAUGAUGGAGAAUAAGGCCUUUCGAAAAUUGGAUUGAACUCGAGGUUGUGAGAGGGUUAAUCUAGGUAAGUUUUGAACUCAGCUCGAGUAAUUCUCCUCUCAUUUUUAAAAAAGACUUCAUAGCGAACAAAGUUCAUUCAUGUAGUCUCUUCUAAGAGAUAGAUAAGUUUUUCCUUAAGAUAUGACAUUUAUUAAAUUUGAGAUUGAAAUAUUAGCAUAUGUAACUCUGUAUAAAAAUAAAUAAAUAAAUGGCUAGGCUUUUCAUUAUGCCACCCUUUUCUUUAUAGAUGACCCUUUUCAAGUGACUGCAUGGAUUUCAUGUGAGUUGUUCUUAAAUGCCUGUGAGAGGCUAUGACCUUCCCCUACGGAUUAUGUGUGGAUCUUGGUUAGCUUUUCUCCCAACAUUUAUAUGUGGACUAACCUAAUUACCUUCUUUAUUUUUUUUCCUCCCAGUGUUUCUAUUUCUUCAUUCAACUACUUGACCCUCUAGACUAGAGUUUUACAUUGUUGAGCUGUGCACGUAAACCCCUACUUAAUAUUUAUGAAGCUGAAUCUUUUGAACACUAACCCUACUUGUCUUCAGUCACCUAGUUAUUAUAGCUCUACACGUUUGGUUAGUAUACCUCCUGUUUUAUAUUUAAAUAUUAAUUAUAUUGUAUGCUUCAAUACUACUUUAUAUUUGCAUGUUCCUUAUUGCCAUGUUCAUGCAAUUUCUCAGCUUUGUGGUUGAUUGAUUUGAAUAUGGAUAUACUUGUCAAAUUGUUUGAAAUAUCCUCUCUUUCGAUGCAUGUGAUUGUUAUGAAUAGACUUCUCAAAUUAUUUAAAAUGCAUGGGGAAUUUAUUAUAUUAUAUUAUUUUAUUUUUAUCUUACAUCUAUCAAAUUGAAAAGGGGAUAAAAACAAAGAAAGAAGCUUAAGAUUAAGCUUAAUUCCACUAGCUUAUGAUUAUGACUAAUCAAAUAUCUAUUGUCUAUACAUGCAACAAACUGUGUUGGCAACAUUUCCCAUAGCUACACCUUUGAUUGGCCAAGUAGACAAAAUGGGGUUUUGUUUUAGAUACAUUGCAUAACAUGUAUGGCCCAGAAACUGAAUAAUUUGCAACACCAAAACAAGGAAAUAUUCAAAGUUUGAAUCUAUGAUCCAACUUGAAAAUGCAAAAAAAUGGGAAAGGAUUUGAAAGAAUGGGAUUUUUAUGAUGCCUUGUUAAUCAUGUCAGUAUCGUAAAACCCCAUCAUAUUCCGUUUGCUCUGGCUUUUUGUGAUUAAUGGGCCAAUUGGAACAUUUUGGAGGGGGAAAAAAGUGGGGAAAAGAUAUGCAUACAUUAUAUUUUGUUAAUACAUGUUUUCUUUUUCUUUCUUCUCCUUGUUUUUCCAUGGAGAAAA